rnacentral:rRNA from 1 species
AGAUGCGAUCAUACCAGCACUAAAGCACCGGAUCCCAUCAGAACUCCGAAGUUAAGCUUGCUUGGGUGAGAGUAGUACUAGGAUGGGUGACCUCUUGGGAAGUCCUCGUGUUGCAUUCC